ACUUUCGAAUUUUGAAACCGUAAGCUUUACUUUACAUUUUCAAUGUAAAGUAAAGCUUUCGGUUUCAAAAUUCAAAAAG